rnacentral:rRNA from 1 species
CCUACGGGAGGCAGCAGUGAGGAAUAUUGGUCAAUGGGCGCGAGCCGGAACAAGCCAAGUAGCGUGAAGGAUGAAUGCCCUAAGGGUUGUAAACUUCUUUUAUAAAGGAAUAAAGUGAGGCACGUGUGCCUUUUUGAAUGUACUUUAUGAAUAAGGAUCGGCUAACUCCGUUCCAGCAGCGGCGGUAAUACGGAGGAUCCGAGCUUUAUCCGGAUUUAUUGGGUUUAAAGGGAGCGUAGAUUGGUUGUUAAGUCAGUUGUGAAAGUUUGCGGCUCAACCGUAAAAUUGCAAUUGAUACUGGCAGUCUUGAGUACAGUUGAGGUAGGCGGAAUUCGUGGUGUAGCGGUGAAAUGCUUAGAUAUCACGAAGAACUCCGAUUGCGAAGGCAGCUUACUAAACUGCCACUGACAUUGAUGCUCGAAAGUGUGGGUAUCAAACAGGAUUAGAUACCCUUGUAGUC